CAGCAGCCGCCACGGGAAUACGUAGGUGGCAAGCGUUGUCCGGAAUUAUUGGGCGUAAAGGGCUCGCAGGCGGUUUCUUAAGUCUGAUGUGAAAGCCCCCGGCUCAACCGGGGAGGGUCAUUGGAAACUGGGAAACUUGAGUGCAGAAGAGGAGAGUGGUAUUCCACGUGUAGCGGUGAGAUGCGUAGAGAUGUGGAGGAACACCAGUGGCGAAGGCGACUCUCUGGUCUGUAACUGACGCUGAGGAGCGAAAGCGUGGGGAGCGAACAGGAUUAGAUACCCCUGUAGUCCCUGUCUCUUAUAC
rnacentral:rRNA from 1 species